ACAUGAUCAUAUUUAUUAAUUACAAAUUAUACAAUUAAUCAAUCAUGUUCACUAAUUUUCCUUGUCAAAAAUCAUACUAUUUCUAUUAGUCAUACAUCACACAAUUCCCUUCCAUUUUAAGUUUAGAGUAUCACUUGCUAAUCCUUUACCAUAAGAUAGAAAUUUGAGGAUUUACUUAUUUAUUAUUGAAAGUUAUUGACCAAAUGUUUUAUAGAAUAGAAAAUGAGGGGCUUCCUUGGCAAAAUUGGAGUUAGUGCUCUAAUAUGCAGCAUCCACUUAGAACCAUUUCCUCCAUUUGGUACAGGCUCAGAAUGGGUAGCAGAGAAUAGAGAACAAAAAUGGGAAUGGAAGAAAAAAAAGAGAGAGAAAGGAGUGACUACACAGUUCAUGUGCUCCAUUGCUAAAACCAACAACCCGAUAAAAUGCUAAUUA
rnacentral:lncRNA from 1 species